GCCAGACUCCUACGGGAGGCAGCAGUGGGGGAUAUUGCACAAUGGGGGGAACCCUGAUGCAGCGACGCCGCGUGGGUGAAGGAGUGCUUCGGCAUGUAAAGCCCUAUCGGCAGGGAAGAAGCAAGACGGUACCUGACUAAGAAGCCCCGGCUAACUACGUGCCAGCAGCCGCGGUAAUACGUAGGGGGCAAGCGUUAUCCGGAUUUACUGGGUGUAAAGGGAGCGUAGACGGCAGUGCAAGUCUGGAGUGAAAGGCGGGGGCUCAACCCCCGGACUGCUCUGGAAACUGUACGGCUGGAGUGCAGGAGAGGUAAGUGGAAUUCCUAGUGUAGCGGUGAAAUGCGUAGAUAUCAGGAGGAACACCGGUGGCGAAGGCGGCCUGCUGGACUGCAACUGACGUUGAGGCCCGAAAGCGUGGGGAGCAAACAGGAUUAGAUACCCCAGUA
rnacentral:rRNA from 1 species